ensembl:rRNA 5S_rRNA 5S ribosomal RNA
GCCAGCAGCCAUAUCACCCUGCAACUCACAACUAGCAACCCACUGAAGCUAAGCGGUUGUGAGCCUGGUCAGUACCUGGAUGGGAGACCUCAUGGGAAAAACUAAGGUUGCUGCUGGAA